rnacentral:tRNA from 1 species
GGAGAUUAUAUCUCAGUUGGUAGAGUGCUUGUCUUGCAUGCACAAGAUCCUGGGUUCAAUUCCCAGUACCA